rnacentral:rRNA from 1 species
GAUGAACGCUGGCGGCGUGCCUAAUACAUGCAAGUCGAGCGAACAGACGAGGAGCUUGCUCCUCUGACGUUAGCGGCGGACGGGUGAGUAACACGUGGAUAACCUACCUAUAAGACUGGGAUAACUUCGGGAAACCGGAGCUAAUACCGGAUAAUAUAUUGAACCGCAUGGUUCAAUAGUGAAAGACGGUUUUGCUGUCACUUAUAGAUGGAUCCGCGCCGCAUUAGCUAGUUGGUAAGGUAACGGCUUACCAAGGCAACGAUGCGUAGCCGACCUGAGAGGGUGAUAGGCCACACUGGAACUGAGACACGGUCCAGACACCUACGGGAGGCAGCAGUAGGGAAUCUUCCGCAAUGGGCGAAAGCAUGACGGAGCAACGCCGCGUGAGUGAUGAAGGUCUUCGGAUCGUAAAACUCUGUUAUUAGGGAAGAACAAAUGUGUAAGUAAAUAUGCACGUCUUGACGGUACCUAAUCAGAAAGCAACGGCUAACUACGUG